rnacentral:misc_RNA from 1 species
AGAAAACCUGAUAUCACAAGGGCCAAAGAUCUUCUGGGUUGGGAGCCCAAGGUGUCCCUUCGCAAGGGUCUUCCCCUAAUGGUCUCAGAUUUCAGGCAACGCAUCUUUGGCGACCACAAAGAAGACGGUGGUGCCACCACCUCUACCACCAUGUCCUCACAUUAAGGAUGAAGUACAAUUUUGAGUGACAAAAGUAGAAGAAAAUGAAUAUUUUCGAGCAAAU